rnacentral:rRNA from 1 species
GAGAAGUACGCUUCUAAUCGUCCUCGGACAAUUCUUGAACUCUGGUCUCAAAUCAGGUAGGGCUACCCGCUGAACUUAAGCAUAUCAAUAAGCGGAGGAAAAGAAACUAACAAGGAUUCCCUUAGUAACGGCGAGUGAACCGGGAAAAGCUCAAAUUUGUAAUCUGGCUGUCUUCGAUAGUCCGAGUUGUAAUCUAUAGACGUGUUUUCCGUGCUGGACCGUAUCUAAGUCCCUUGGAACAGGGUAUCAAAGAGGGUGACAAUCCCGUGCUUGAUACGACCACCAGUGCUCUGUGAUACACGCUCUACGAGUCGAGUUGUUUGGGAAUGCAGCUCAAAAUGGGUGGUAAAUUCCAUCUAAAGCUAAAUAUUGGCGAGAGACCGAUAGCGAACAAGUACCGUGAGGGAAAGAUGAAAAGCACUUUGGAAAGAGAGUUAAACAGUACGUGAAAUUGUUGAAAGGGAAACGAUUGAAGUCAGUCGUGUUCUUUGGAUUCAGCUAGUUCUUCUAGUCUACUUCCUUUGAACGGGUCAACAUCAGUUUUGUCCGGUGGAUAAAGAUAGUAGGAAUGUAGCUCCCUCGGGAGUGUUAUAGACUAUUAUUGCAUGCACUGGGUGAGACUGAGGACUGCAGCUCGCCUUUUGGCCGGCCUUCGGGUACGUUCGAGCUUAGGAUGUUGACAUAAUGGCUUU